rnacentral:rRNA from 1 species
UUGUGGUUAAAAAGCUCGUAGUUGGAUCUCAACAGCCUUGAAGCGGUUAACUUUGUAGUUUUACUGCUUUAUAGGCUGUGCUUUUGCUGGAGGUUUAGGGGUGCUCUUGAUCGAGUGUCUCUGGAUGCCAGCAGGUUUACUUUGAAAAAAUUAGAGUGCUCAAAGCAGGCUAAAAUGCCUGAAUAUUCGUGCACGGAAUAAUAGAAUAGGAUGUCGAUCCUAUUUUGUUGGUUUUCGGGACUCGACAUAAUGAUAAAUAGGGACAGUCGGGGGCAUUUGUAUUCAAACGACAGAGGUGAAAUUCUUGGACCGUUUGAAGACAAACUACUGCGAAAGCAUUUGCCAAGAAUGUUUUCAUUAAUCAAGAACGAAAGUUAGUGGUUCGAAGGCGAUUAGAUACCGCCCUAGUUCUAACCAUAAACGAUGCCAGCUAGCGAUCUGCCUGCGUUUUUACUGUAGACUGGGCAGGAAGCUUCCGGGAAACCAAAGCAUUUGGGUUCCAGGGGAAGUAUGGUUGCAAAGCUGAAACUUAAAGGAAUUGACGGAAGGGCACCACCAGGAGUGGAGCCUGUGGCU